UCCCUUAUAGCUCAGUGGUAGAGCGCGUCACUAGUAUACGCCGUUCAGGUUGUGGAAAUGACGAGGUCCAUAGUUCAAGUCUGUGUGAGGGAA